rnacentral:rRNA from 1 species
CCUACGGGUGGCAGCAGUGAGGAAUAUUGGUCAAUGGGCGCGCGCCUGAACCAGCCAAGUAGCGUGAAGGAUGCCUGCCAUACGGGUUGUAAACUUCUUUUAUAAAGGAAUAAAGUGAGGCAAGUGUGCCUUUUUGUAUGUACUUUAUGAAUAAGGAUCGGCUAACUCCGUGCCAGCAGCCGCGGUAAUACGGAGGAUACGAGCGUUAUCCGGAUGUAGUGGGUUUAAAGGGAGCGUCGAUGGGUUGUUAAGGAAGUUGUGAAAGUUUGCGGCUCAACCUUAAAAUUGCAAUUGAUACUGGCAGUCUUGAGUACAGUUGAGGUAGGCGGAAUUCGUGGUGUAGCAGUGAAAUGCUGAGAUAUCACGAAGAACUCCGAUUGCGAAGGCAGCUUACUAAACUGCCACUGACAUUGAUGCUCGAAAGUGUGGGUAUCAAACAGGAUUAGAUACCCCAGUAGUC